GAGGAAGUUGCCUCUCUCUGGCGCCUGCAUUCAAUGAACGUUUGUAAUGUUAGCAGGUGUGGACCUUGAGGAGAUUUUCUCUCCCUGGCUGCCCAAUUAUCAUUUUUAGAGAGGCAAUGCGAUAAUUGCUGAACGAUGUCACCUGACAUUCCUAGCGGGUGGGAGAGAGCCCUCUCCUGCCCCGCUCAUUGCCUAACUACCUGUAACAGGUGUGUGGGUGAGUGCUCCCUGUGAUGGAACGGUGUCCUGUUCAGGACUGGGUGCCACCUGGCACCUUGAGCUGCCAGGACCGGCUCGGGCUGCUCGCGAUCCCAAACUAGAACAAAUGGGUGGCCACCCUCCUGUUGCCGCUUCACAUGGUCUUUCCUCUGUGCGUGCG
rnacentral:lncRNA from 1 species